rnacentral:tRNA from 5 species
GGCUCUAUAGUUAAGCGGUUUAUAACACCUGCCUGUCACGCAGGAGUCCGGAGUUCAACUCUCCGUGGAGCCG